AUUGAACGCUGGCGGCAGACCUAACACAUGCAAGUCGAACGGUAACAGGGUGCUUGCACCGCUGACGAGUGGCGAACGGGUGAGUAAUGCGUCGGAACGUGCCGAGUAGUGGGGGAUAACGCAGCGAAAGUUGUGCUAAUACCGCAUACGUACUGAGGUAGAAAGUGGGGGACCUUCGGGCCUCACGCUAUUCGAGCGGCCGACGUCUGAUUAGCUAGUAGGUGAGGUAAAGGCUCACCUAGGCGACGAUCAGUAGCGGGUCAGAGAGGAUGAUCCGCCACACUGGGACUGAGACACGGCCCAGACUCCUACGGGAGGCAGCAGUGGGGAAUUUUGGACAAUGGGCGAAAGCCUGAUCCAGCCAUGCCGCGUGUCUGAAGAAGGCCUUCGGGUUGUAAAGGACUUUUGUUGGGGAGGAAAUCCCCAGCGCUAAUACCGCUGGGGGAUGACAGUACCUGAAGAAUAAGCACCGGCUAACUACGUGCCAGCAGCCGCAGUAACAC
rnacentral:rRNA from 1 species